GCGGGUAUGGCGGAACAGCAGACGCACUGGCUUCAGGAGCCAGCGAGAGCAAUCUCAUGAGGGUGCAAAUCCUUCUACCCGCACAA
rnacentral:tRNA from 1 species